rnacentral:rRNA from 1 species
GUGGGGAAUUUUGGACAAUGGGCGAAAGCCUGAUCCAGCCAUGCCGCGUGCAGGAUGAAGGCCUUCGGGUUGUAAACUGCUUUUGUACGGAACGAAAAGACUCCUUCUAAUAAAGGGGGUCCAUGACGGUACCGUAAGAAUAAGCACCGGCUAACUACGUGCCAGCAGCCGCGGUAAUACGUAGGGUGCAAGCGUUAAUCGGAAUUACUGGGCGUAAAGCGUGCGCAGGCGGUUAUAUAAGACAGAUGUGAAAUCCCCGGGCUCAACCUGGGAACUGCAUUUGUGACUGUAUAGCUAGAGUACGGUAGAGGUGGAUGGAAUUCCGCGUGUAGCAGUGAAAUGCGUAGAUAUGCGGAGGAACACCGAUGGCGAAGGCAAUCCCCUGGACCUGUACUGACGCUCAUGCACGAAAGCGUGGGGAGCAAACAGGAUUAGAAACCCCUGUAGUCC